rnacentral:rRNA from 1 species
AUUGAACGCUGGCGGCAUGCCUUACACAUGCAAGUCGAACGGCAGCACGGGUGCUUGCCCCUGGUGGCGAGUGGCGAACGGGUGAGUAAUACAUCGGAACAUGUCCUGUAGUGGGGGAUAGCCCGGCGAAAGCCGGAUUAAUACCGCAUACGAUCUACGGAUGACAGCGGGGGACCUUCGGGCCUCGCGCUAUAGGGUUGGCCGAUGGCUGAUUAGCUAGUUGGUGGGGUAAAGGCCUACCAAGGCGACGAUCAGUAGCUGGUCUGAGAGGACGACCAGCCACACUGGGACUGAGACACGGCCCAGACUCCUACGGGAGGCAGCAGUGGGGAAUUUUGGACAAUGGGCGAAAGCCUGAUCCAGCAAUGCCGCGUGUGUGAAGAAGGCCUUCGGGCUGUAAAGCACUUUUGUCCGGAAAGAAAUCCUUGGCCCUAAUACGGUCGGGGGAUGACGGUACCGGAAGAAUAAGCACCGGCUAACUACGUG